rnacentral:rRNA from 1 species
AUCUGCCUUUGAGCGGGGGACAACAUUUGGAAACGAAUGCUAAUACCGCAUAACAACUUUAAACACAAGUUUUAAGUUUGAAAGAUGCAAUUGCAUCACUCAAAGAUGAUCCCGCGUUGUAUUAGCUAGUUGGUGAGGUAAAGGCUCACCAAGGCGAUGAUACAUAGCCGACCUGAGAGGGUGAUCGGCCACAUUGGGACUGAGACACGGCCCAAACUCCUACGGGAGGCAGCAGUAGGGAAUCUUCGGCAAUGGACGAAAGUCUGACCGAACAACGCCGCGUGAGUGAAGAAGGUUUUCGGAUCGUAAAACUCUGUUGGUAGAGAAGAACGUUGGUGAGAGUGGAAAGCUCAUCAAGUGACGGUAACUACCCAGAAAGGGACGGCUAACUACGUGCCAGCAGCCGCGGUAAUACGUAGGUCCCGAGCGUUGUCCGGAUUUAUUGGGCGUAAAGCGAGCGCAGGUGGUUUAUUAAGUCUGGUGUAAAAGGCAGUGGCUCAACCAUUGUAUGCAUUGGAAACUGGUAGACUUGAGUGCAGGAGAGGAGAGUGGAAUUCCAUGUGUAGCGGUGAAAUGCGUAGAUAUAUGGAGGAACACCGGUGGCGAAAGCGGCUCUCUGGCCUGUAACUGACACUGAGGCUCGAAAGCGUGGGGAGCAAACAGGAUUAGAUACCCUGGUAGUCCACGCCGUAAACGAUGAGUGCUAGAUGUAGGGAGCUAUAAGUUCUCUGUAUCGCAGCUAACGCAAUAAGCACUCCGCCUGGGGAGUACGACCGCAAGGUUGAAACUCAAAGGAAUUGACGGGGGCCCGCACAAGCGGUGGAGCAUGUGGUUUAAU